rnacentral:tRNA from 1 species
GUCUGGGUGGCUCAACUGUUGAGUAUCUGACUUCGGCUCAGGACAUGAUCUCACAUCCGUGGGUUCAAGCCCUGCAUCAGGCU